GUGGGGAAUAUUGGACAAUGGGCGAAAGCCUGAUCCAGCCAUGCCGCGUGUGUGAAGAAGGUCUUCGGAUUGUAAAGCACUUUAAGUUGGGAGGAAGGGCAGUAAGUUAAUACCUUGCUACUUUGACGUUACCGACAGAAUAAGCACCGGCUAACUUCGUGCCAGCAGCCGCGGUAAUACGAAGGGUGCAAGCGUUAAUCGGAAUUACUGGGCGUAAAGCGCGCGUAGGUGGUUCAGUAAGUUGGAAGUGAAAUCCCCGGGCUCAACCUGGGAACUGCUUUCAAAACUGCUGAGCUAGAGUACGGUAGAGGGUGGUGGAAUUUCCUGUGUAGCGGUGAAAUGCGUAGAUAUAGGAAGGAACACCAGUGGCGAAGGCGACCACCUGGACUGAUACUGACACUGUGGUGCGAAAGCGUGGGGAGCAAACAGGAUUAGAAACCCCUGUAGUCC
rnacentral:rRNA from 1 species